rnacentral:rRNA from 1 species
CCUUCGGGUUGUAAAGCUCUUUCGGCCGGGACGAAAUCGCUCUCGCUAAUAUCGGGAGUGGAUGACGGUACCGGAAUAAGAAGCACCGGCUAACUACGUGC